CCUACGGGAGGCAGCAGUGAGGAAUAUUGGUCAAUGGGCGAGAGCCUGAACCAGCCAAGUCGCGUGAAGGAUGACGGCCCUACGGGUUGUAAACUUCUUUUGUCAGGGAGCAAUUGGGUCCACGCGUGGGCGUAGCGAGAGUACCUGAAGAAAAAGCAUCGGCUAACUCCGUGCCAGCAGCCGCGGUAAUACGGGGGAUGCGAGCGUUAUCCGGAUUUGUUGGGGUUAAAGGGGGGGUAGGCGGAAUAUCAAGUCAGCGGGAAAAAUUCGGGGCUAAACCCCGUCGUGCAGUUGAAACUGAUGUUCUUGAGUGGGCGAGAAGUAUGCGGAAUGCGUGGUGUAGCGGUGAAAUGCAUAGAUAUCACGCAGAACGCCGAUUGCGAAGGCAGCAUACCGGCGCCCAACUGACGCUGAGGCACGAAAGCGUGGGUAUCGAACAGGAUUAGAUACCCGAGUAGUC
rnacentral:rRNA from 1 species